AUUGAACGCUGGCGGCAGGCUUAACACAUGCAAGUCGAGCGGAGAUGAGGUGCUUGCACCUUAUCUUAGCGGCGGACGGGUGAGUAAUGCUUAGGAAUCUGCCUAUUAGUGGGGGACAACAUUCCGAAAGGAAUGCUAAUACCGCAUACGUCCUACGGGAGAAAGCAGGGGAUCUUCGGACCUUGCGCUAAUAGAUGAGCCUAAGUCGGAUUAGCUAGUGGGUGGGGUAAAGGCCUACCAAGGCGACGAUCUGUAGCGGGUCUGAGAGGAUGAUCCGCCACACUGGGACUGAGACACGGCCCAGACUCCUACGGGAGGCAGCAGUGGGGAAUAUUAGACAAUGGGGGGAACCCUGAUCCAGCCAUGCCGCGUGUGUGAAGAAGGCCUUAUGGUUGUAAAGCACUUUAAGCGAGGAGGAGGCUACUGAGACUAAUACUCUUGGAUAGUGGACGUUACUCGCAGAAUAAGCACCGGCUAACUCUGUGCCAGCCGCCGCAGUAAAAC
rnacentral:rRNA from 1 species